rnacentral:rRNA from 1 species
UACGUAGGGUGCAAGCGUUGUCCGGAAUUAUUGGGCGUAAAGAGCUCGUAGGCGGUUUGUCGCGUCUGCUGUGAAAAUCCAGGGCUUAACCCUGGACCUGCAGUGGGUACGGGCAGACUGGAGUGCGGUAGGGGAGAUCGGAAUUCCUGGUGUAGCGGUGGAAUGCGUAGAGAUCCGGAAGAACACCGGUGGCGAAGGCGGCCUGCUGGGCAGUGGCUGACGCUGAGGCGCGACAGCGUGGGGGAGCAAACAGG